rnacentral:rRNA from 1 species
UUGAUCCUGGCUCAGGACGAACGCUGGCGGCGUGCCUAAUACAUGCAAGUAGAACGCUGAAGAGAGGAGCUUGCUCUUCUUGGAUGAGUUGCGAACGGGUGAGUAACGCGUAGGUAACCUGCCUUGUAGCGGGGGAUAACUAUUGGAAACGAUAGCUAAUACCGCAUAACAAUGGAUGACACAUGUCAUUUAUUUGAAAGGGGCAAUUGCUCCACUACAAGAUGGACCUGCGUUGUAUUAGCUAGUAGGUGAGGUAAUGGCUCACCUAGGCGACGAUACAUAGCCGACCUGAGAGGGUGAUCGGCCACACUGGGACUGAGACACGGCCCAGACUCCUACGGGAGGCAGCAGUAGGGAAUCUUCGGCAAUGGGGGCAACCCUGACCGAGCAACGCCGCGUGAGUGAAGAAGGUUUUCGGAUCGUAAAGCUCUGUUGUAAGUCAAGAACGGGUGUGAGAGUGGAAAGUUCACACUGUGACGGUAGCUUACCAGAAAGGGACGGCUAACUACGUGCCAGCAGCCGCGGUAAUACGUAGGUCCCGAGCGUUGUCCGGAUUUAUUGGGCGUAAAGCGAGCGCAGGCGGUUUGAUAAGUCUGAAGUUAAAGGCUGUGGCUCAACCAUAGUUCGCUUUGGAAACU